GCCCUCUCCAUUGUGGGGGCUGAUUUGCUGGCUUCGUUUACUAUUUAUAAAAACCUGUUGCUGUUUGAUAUCAGCUCCCAGGAGAGAGCCACUGAGUGGCCAACUACAAAAUGGGACAGAUAUUAAGCCCUUUUAUUCUCAGCUCCUCUGAACUUAUAGAUGUAUAGACACACAUGCACACAUGCACAUGUACAUACACACACACACACACAUACACACACAUACACACACAGAUGGUUAUGCAUUCAACUCACUCAAGAUGAGAGGUCAAGUGCCUACCUCGCUUGCCAGAAAUUGGCUUUUACUCCAUCUCCACACGAUCAUGGUCCUGACCCUCUGGUAUUCGCUGUAAUAGAAAUCAUGUCAAGAAUCAACUAUUUACAGUGCUUGUGUUGCGUCCAGGGGAAACAUCAUUCAUUGGCCAUUGGGAGUCCCAUAUUUAUUUUCCCCAAAGCAAAAAUGAGGUGGAAUUUCUUGUCCCCAGUGAAGUAGCUUCUCACAGCUGGGCCACCAAGUGGUGCCCUUCUUGGACAGGACACCCAGCCAGCCCUGAGUGAGGACAUGGCCAGCACAUGCUGCAGACCACGGCACUAGUCAGGCUGGACAGGGGUACCCUGCAAUGACCAACUCACCCUCAAAAAAUUCAGAGCCUGAACGUGACAGUGGUGUGUGGGUCAGGGUCUGCAGGACGGUCAAGGGAGCUGUGCUCUGUGCCAUUCAGGAGCUGACAGCAGCCCCUGAGUCUUCCAGCUAUAUACUCUGGAAUAUCUCACCUCCACCAUUAGUGUGGAAGACAAAGAGGGCACUUGGAUAUCCGCCCCCCAACCUGGAAGUAGAGCACAUCACUUCCUCUCAUGGCUCUUUGGUCAGACCUCAUCAUUUGACCUCAUCUAUCUAAAAGGGACAGAAAAUAAGUGGUGGUAGGUAAUAUAUUUGGGGAUCAGGAAGUGCUUCUGCCACUGCCGGUCGGCAGAAACUUCUAGACCAUGAGAGCUAAAGCAACCUUCCUAGUCCUUGGUGGGGACGAGUGGGAAAUUCUAAGCUUCAAUUAAGGAGAAAGCACAGAUGCCUAAGGACUUCCAGGUGCAUCUCUUCCCAAUAAAAAAAAAAAAGGCUAAGGUCUUGAUAAAUGGUUGAUGGAUGAGGAGCACGGGCCAAGCAGGGCUGGAGAACUGGGAGGCCAUCAUAAUUGAUAAGCAGUAGAAAUGAUCCUAUGACUUCAUGGCAAGAUCAGAGUGAAUUGAGCACUCUCACUGGAGCCCUGAGGCCCCACACAAGUACUCUGGCUGCUCCAAAGCAGCCAUGUUGUGAGGAAGCCCACAUCCCCUGUGGAGAAGCCACAUGAACACCAGGAACAAGAGAUUUCCCAGCCAGCCCCAGAGGCAGCAGCCCUCCCUUCUCCCAGUUCUAGCCAUUGUCUGAACUGCAACUGCACGAGAGACCUAGAACCAUCCACGCAAGCCCUUUGCAAUUUCCUGUCUCACGGAAACUGUGAGAGAUAAUAAAAUGACACUUGCUUUAAGCAUAGCCAGUGGCGUGCUGGUCAAUUUUUAUUUAAUGUAAGGAUGUCCAGGAAAAAAAUAAAAAGCAACCCUGAUUUGUAGUGUUUACCUAUUUCUGUGGUAUCAAUACUCCCACAAAGGCCAAUCUCCAGCUACCAACGAGGUGAAUAGAAUUGGAACGAGAGGCACACCAUGGCUCUCACAUCCCUGGGGGAGCUCUAGAGCAAACCCUGGAAGAGAACAGUCCAGAGCUAAGGGAUCUCCUGAUAGGUUCCGGAGCUCCUUCCCAGUUUACAGGAUGGGGCCAGAGCCAGCAUCUGCUAAGACUGCUGGAGCACACCGUGCCAAGGUUGAGACCGAGGCCCUCUGGCUUCCUGGUGGACACCCAGAGCAUGGCACCUCUGUCGACCCUGAGGCCCUAAUUUGAUAGUAUCUUCUUAUCACUUCUGACAGGUGGGUAUGCAGACAGCUGUGGGCAAUUAAGCCAUAGCCCCUUGGGGUGUUGAAGACCAUCUAGGUCUAGGCUGGGAAGCCUGCCCUGAAGGAUCUGGCCAGUGCCCUUCCCCAAGAAGCCUGGGGAGUGUGGGGCCUGCUGUGAGAACGAGGUCCUGUUUCCAAGGAGACAAGACUCACCACCCACCAACUAGGAGAAACAUCUAUCUGGCCCGCACCAACAGGACCCAUAGGAAAGAUCAGGAGAAUGGCUCUGUCAUUUUCCAAAUUAAUAAAUUUUAUUAUGGGACAAAUGAACUCAUCAGAAGAGAAAAUUAAAAUUACAUCCAAUCCCCACUAAACGCACUGAAAAUUUUUGGAUAUUUUGUUCAGUCUUUUGCAAUAGACAGCAUAAAUCCCUUGUACAUCCCACAUCUUUCAUUAGUAUUCCGUUGUCUCAUGCCCGCAUAUCCUUAGAUCUUACAAAAAAUAACGACUGCAUAAUAUUCUAUCAUUUGGUAUUACUACUGAAGACUAGAUGGGUAGACUGUUUCCUGACAUUUUAAAGUGACCCCCCAAAUGGAUAGCCCUGUGUUCUUGUCUUAUUGUAGAGCAUUUGUAGAAAGGGGAAGACAUGAUAUUGGGAUGGGGCAUCUUUAAGGCUCUGGGUGAACAUUUUUGUUUCCCAGUGUCUGUCUGUGUGAACUCCUACCAGCAAUGGGCAAGGGAACAUAUCUUAUAGGAAUUUGAUGGGCAAAAUGAAUUUUCAUGGUUGAUUUGAUUUAUAUUUUUACAAUACAUUUAAAUAUUUUUUACAUAUUUCUUGAACAUUUAUGUUUUUGUCAUUAAUCACUUUUGCCUAUCUUAACAUUGUUAUCUCUUUCUUCACUUUGCAGUCACCUUUACAUAAACAUAAGAUUAAUUCUUUGUGAAAUUUGUCAUAAACAUCAUCUUAGUGUUGCUGAUAUCUAGACACAUGAAUAUUUCUGUGGUCAAACUCAAUAAUCGUUUACUUUUAAGUCUGUUUCUAAAGUCCCCCUCUCAGGAUCUGAAGUUUACCUGUGUCUUCCACUUUUAUGCUACUUUUUGCAUAUAACAGCUAAAUACAUGUGGAAUUUAUUUUGGUAUACGGGAAAAGCUAAGGAUUAGCUCUAAUUUUUUCCACAUGGUUGGUCCUAACAUCAUUUAUUGACUAAUCUCCUUUUCCUCAUGGAUCUUUACCAUGUACUAAUUUUUUAUCUAUAUCAUCUCUAUUAGGGCCUGUGUUUCAGACAUUUGUUAUAUUGACCCAUCUGUUCAUGGUUUAAUUUGGCAUUGAAGUUUUAUAAUACGUUUUAUUUUUCUUCUUUCUCCCCAGUGAUAUAAUACUUUUAACAUACUUUCUCAAAAUAUUCUGGACUGUAUCAAGCUACCAAAAUUUUCUUAAAAGGAAUAAUCCAGGCUACUAUCGGCAUGGUCCGAAUAUAAUUCUUGUUGACCUGAGCAGUGACUUACCAGGUUUACAACUUUCUUCUGGAAACUGUUCUUUAGAUACCUGUCCCCUUACUCUCACCCCACUCAUACUGGCCUCAAUAAAUCAAUUUGCAUUGUCACCCUCUUCUUAGGAAGGGAAUUAUUUGCUAGUGGCCAGAAAUCAGAAAGUUUCAACCAGUCACCUUCAUUGCAUGGAGGCAGGGGAAUUCCCAUUAAGGAGACUAGUAGCUGCUCAUUAAAGAGCUCUCAGCACUGGUACAAGCCCUACUUGUAACUUCAUCACUGAAUUACCCUGGGUGUGCUGCUGUACCACCCUGGAACUCUGCCGCACCAUCUGCAAAACGAGGCUUCCAGACUGGACACCCUCCCAACUCUACCACAGUACCCCUGGUGGCUGGCAGCCCCUUCCAAAUCCUGCAAUGAAAUCUUCUGGUUCUGCUUUUGUUUCCCUUCAACCAGAAUUUGUCAGAACUCUUCAGUGGCACCAGGUUCAGACAGCUCUGUGUUCUCCUGAGCCUUCUUGCUGUGUGAACAGUCCUUUCAAGAUACCUGGGAUAAAAGUGUCCCCAGUGCAUGAAAGCAGAUAAAAAGCAACGUCUGUACGGUAGAAGGAAGUUGGGCUUUUCUUCCUUCCCUUCCUCUCAUUAGUUUAACUUCUGACCGAUUUAAACAUUUGUUACACUUUCCCUGGAAAAUUAAAAGUUUAAUUUGGAAAGCAGUCAUGGAGUAAAAAAUCUGUACGAUGCAAAAUAUGGUCGCUAAUGAGUGGCACUGAUUUAACAGGACAUAAGGAAGAAAAAUAACAAAUUUUGGAAGAAAGUAAGCAAUUUCACAAUGUUUCCACUUGUUUCAAAUCCAACUUGCUUCCAUUGCUUCAAGGGUUAGCUUGGAAAUUUUUCUCAUGAAAGCGCAGUAAAUGUUCCCGAAGACAGUUUAUUUUCUGGGCUUGGAAUUAAUGGGUAGAAAUGACAAAUUUCCUAGAACAACUUCUGGGAAAUUUGUGUUGAUGGUUGCUUCUGAGUUCAAGCUUUCAUUCCCCCCUCCAGCAAGAAAUAUACCAAGUCGUGCAACCACAUGGCACAGAGCAGCAAAUUCUGG
rnacentral:lncRNA from 1 species